rnacentral:lncRNA from 1 species
AAUUCCUGAAGAUCCCUAGCCUAGUACUAGCAUGCUGUUCUAACAUAUCACAUAAUCAAGUAAUUGUAUGGUAUUUUGGGGUCUACUUACUGGCUCCAGCUGAUCGUACACUUUGCAUCCUCUUUUAGUUAUUUUGAAAACCAUAUAAAAAACGUUUUGAAAAUCUUACCUUGAUUUGAGACUGGAUUCACACGAAUGUUCAUCCAAUUCACUCAAACCAAGGCUCUGAUACCAACUUGUAACAUCCAAAAUUUCGAACCAAUUUAAACUUUUAAAACAUAUCAAGUUCAUCAAAACGUUACAACUUUGUUUUCAAAAUAUAUUGAUUAUCAGAGUUUUUCCCAGAAACAUAAAUAUAAUAGGAGGAGCUGUACGUUCACGCCUUCGCCUUGCCGCGAUCCUCUGAUGUACCUGAAACAAUAAGCUGAAACUGUAAGCCCGAAAGCCUAGUGAGUUACCCCCAAAAUACUGAUACACAUACAGUCCACAUAGCAAUAUCAACAUUAGCAUAGAAUAUCAAUAAAACAUAACAGCAUAUACUGGGUCUACAGCUAAACAGGCUGGACUACCCCUGGGCCAUCAGUAUGAGUCUGGAAUGCCUAUCGAGCCCUCAGCUCGUAUCUGGAAUGCUCCCGAGUCCUCAGUAUGAGUCUGGAAUGCCUACCGGGCCCUCAACUCGUAUCUGGAAUGCCAUCGAGCCCUCAGUACGAGUCUGGAAUGCCUACCGGGCCCUCAACUCGUAUCUGGAAUGCCAUCGAGCCCUCAGUACGAGUCUGGAAUGCCUACCGGGCCCUCAACUCGUAUCUGGAAUGCCAUCGAGCCCUCAGUACGAGUCUGGAAUGCCUACCGGGCCCUCAGCUCAUAUCCGGCAUACUCCUGAGUCCUCAGUAUGAUUCUGGAAUGCCUACCGGGCCCUGAACUCAUAUCUGACAUACUCCUGAGUCCUCAGUAUGAGUUUGGAAUGCCUACCAGGCCCUCAGCUCAUAUCUGGCAUACUCCUGAGUCCUCAGUAUGAGUUUGGAAUGCCUACCGGGCCCUCAGCUCAUAUCUGGAAUACUCUAGGGUUUGUUGGCUACCGCAUGGAGCAGUACAACCUCAACCCAACCCACAUAACAUAUAACAUAACUACUGAGCAUGCAAUAAUCAUAUAACAUCACGGGUAGUCCUACAGGUCUACCUAACUGGCAUAACCAAUAACAUGCAACACAAACUCAUUCUCAACAUGAAACGCUACUAGGAUAACAUAUCCAAUGGGUCGGCCUUGUUGCCUUAGACCCCUUAGUAUAGUGAGGAUAACUCACCUUGCAACCACCGAACCGAAUCUCAAGAGCACAAUCCAGAAGCACCGCCUCAAACUCCAACACCUACAUCCAUCAAUAAUCAUUGGCAUAAAUAUCCAAAUUACCAUAAUACCCCUGAAGGUCAAGGUCAAAGUCAACCUUCCUGAUUGACUCUACUCGCUGAGCCAACCCGUCGACUCGCUGAGUUCUCAUAUCUAGAAAACUCUCCUAGCACGACUUAACUCACCGAGUCUCCCCAAGACUCGUCGAGUCCAACGAUUUCUGAGUUCCAUCCUGACCAACUCACUGAGUCCCCAACCGAAUCACUAAUCCAAGGCUUUAACUGAAAGAGGUUAGGUUCUGCAAGCAGACUCGCCGAGUCCAAGAACAGACUCGCCGAGCUCACGUCAAUAUUCAAUAGACUCGCCGAGUUGUUCUUCGAACUCGUCGAGUCCAAGCUCUUCAUCAUAAGACUCGACGAGUCACCCAUGCGACUCGCCAAGUUACGACGCGACUCAAUAUCUGAUCUCUAGCCCGACUCGCCGAGUCCAUACGUGCAUUCUCAUAAUCUCGAGUCACAGAGCUACUCCUUUGCUCCAAACAAUAGAUCUGGGUCUCUAGGGUCCAUUAGCAACAUAAAGUUGCCACCUUUACGUGCUUCUUGACCCAUAAUACCAAAAAACAAGCUAGAAAGGGACUUAACUCUUGGGGAAGGGCUUUUGCAUAAAAACUAGAAAGUCUUUCUGCAUCAAUGAUCCAUAUAGAACUCGGAUAUGGAGUUUUAACUCCAGAUCUAACUUAUGCUUCAAGAUCUCAUCAAUAUUUCUCCAACCAAACCCUAAAACUCCAUGAAAAUGGAACUAGAAAGGAGAAGGCCAAGGAUAACGAUUCCUUACCUCCAAAAUGAUCUCCCACAGAAGUAUAAUACGGAUCUCUUCAAGUGUCCUUGAUCCAAUUUACUUCAAACUCUUCUCACAAAUGAAAUUAGGGCUUCUGGAUCUUAAAAGGGUAGAAAAGAGGCUAAGGGUGGGUUAUAAUGUGCUUUAUAUAGGGCACAACCCCCAGGAUUAUGGUUUUCUCCCUUCAUCACCAACUCGUCGAGUACAAGCCGCCGACUCGGCAAGUUGGCCAUUAAACCCGCGAAAAAUCCCGCUCCGACUCGGCGAGUAAGCUUGCCUACUCGUCGAGUCCUUUUCCUUAAAUUACAAUUUAAGCCCUUCAACAGCACCUCUGGAAUUUGGGGUGUUACAACUCUCCCACACUUAAAUUAGGCUUCGUCCUCGAAGCCUACUGCAAUAUACGCUUCAGGACAAACCCUUUGCACUGUAGACUCCGAUUUUCUCAAUCAACUCAUGCUCUUACAAACCCUACUUCUAUAUGCCUCUUGAAAUGGCUUAUUCGCACGUGGCAUCCUUGCCACUAUUCCAAGCUAACCAUCGGUCUUUCAACUCCAUAGCACCACAUAUCAGUCACAUAUCACCCGAUGAACAUCCCUUCAAAUCAGGAACACACCUUCACGCCCUGCGAACGCUAGAUACCACAAACACCCACUGAGCUCUGUCAAGACACUAAUCCAUCCUCCUUCACCCAUGAUUGGGGAUAACCGUAAUAACUUGCAACCUGGAACGUACCCUGUUUUCCCCUCUGAUUCUAUACCUCACGCGCUGAUAGGAUACCACAUCCUUCAACUCCAAUAGCCCAUCAACCAAACAUCUCGUGUAACCAGUUGUACCUGGCCCAAUCAGCCUCAGGCUGUAAUACUUGGCACGCCCAUAACGGGUUCAGACUACUCCCGAGUCUGUUAACUUGCUGUCUCACCUUCCUCUGUCCAAAUCUCCAAUCUGGACCCACUAUCCCCCUCCUCUUCCAAGGAGACUAAAAACAUGCAUGCGCAUCAUCCAACAUCGCCACAACCUCAACGGGCAUCCUACCCGUAAGUGCUUCGAUAUAUCUGGUACAACCCUAGUGCUUACUAUCAAUAACUGAAGUACUUUCGAUCAUCCAUUUACACUACUGCUUUCCAUUCAGAGGACCACACUCCUUCCGGAGCUACACACCUUUCUUUUCCAGGAAACCUACUCAACAACCCUUACCGCAUUACAAGUGCCACUGAGCUAAACUCCACUCUACACUAUCUAUGCGGUGCAACUGUUAUUCUUGAACUCCUAUAUACUCCGAUUCUGAUCACAUACUAACUAGGCCCACACACGGCCUCCAGCCAACUCCAUCAUCAUGAUCAAUAGUUGGGGCCACACCAUCUCGAUUACCAUUGCAUGGCGAAAUAUUCACUCAUUCUCCUCAUACUGAUCCAUUAACACAUACAGAGUCUUCAGCAUAACUAGACCGCUUUUCGAGGCCUUCAACCUAUCUGGACCACUCCCAGAACCUUCAGCAUGUCUGGACCGCCCACCUGGGCCUUCAGCCUGUCUGGACCACUCUCAAAGCCUUCAGCAUGGUCUGGAUUGCCUCUAAGCCCACAGCAUGAGUCUGGUAUACCCCACCUGGCCCUCAGCUCAUGACUAGAAUGCUACUGAUAAACUAUCAACCUUGUCCAAAAGAAAACCUAACCAACGUCCUUUACAACACCAACCCGUGCUACCAUGUUGAAAUCCCACUAUGCAUGAUCCACCUAUAGAUCAAGUUGCUUAUCCAAGCAAAAUCCUACAACCCUUGGUCGCAUUCGACCCCAGAAUAGAAUGAUAGACGAACUUUAGAUUCACUAGUAGACUAUAACCCAGACCUGAUCACACGUAUAUCGAAUUAACUCUAAUGCCAUCAUAAAUACCCGCCGUUACACAUGAAGGACCACUACUAUGAACAUAAUUGGGAGUCCUUAACUUCACAUUCACUCGCCACAAAGCCCAUACUGGAUCGAGACUAAUCCGAUUCUACCAAUACAGAACUAGCCCGAGAAGACUUCCACAAUUAUCCCGAAGGUUACCGCCACACGGGUCUAAUACAAAUCAAAAUUCUAUUUCACCAUUGGGGAGAAACAUACCCCAAAUACUUUCGGGACAUAAAAACACUGCAUAAGGGAAUGGGUGGCAUGAUCCUAGCUUCGUAACUGUCACCUCUUGAAUCCCAUUCGGAGAAUUCCUGCUCCCUGUGGGUUCACAACUUAAUGUCUGUCCGACCAUUUUGGAAAACAUAAUCUGAGCAGCAACAGACAAAACCUUCAAUGGAUGAUGCGCAACCUAAGAAUUACCAAUUCUCCCCUACUUAGAACACUAACCACCACCCACUAGUGUGAAACCCAAAAAAACUUAGCUGACAAUCCCUGAUGCUUGAAUGAUCCCACUCUCAAAUCUUGAAGUCCAGAGAUAGAUGCUCUACUAAUACUUCAGCAACAAGCUUUUUCCCUUGGCGCUCUUAUACGCCAAUUAAUAACGAUUACUAAAAACCAUUGAAUCCUGAAAAUGUCGAAUAACUAUCCCAUAGGACUCUAUCUGCAACCUCCCAUAUAAUACCCUUCUUCCCAAAGUGCUCCGACAAAUCUCCUACCCUCAGCUCUAGAAAUACUAUCAAUCAGGGUUUCGCACCCCGACUUACUCACCAGCUCGAUCAUCCAUAUCUAAACUACAGUAGCCGAAGCAACCUAUGCCCUAAACCGGGUUACAAACUACUCCCAAGACAUAGUCUCCAGUCCCCAAAAGUGCAAUAGAUCAUAGAAUCAAUCCUUACAGCCCGAUAUAAGAGAUCCAAGUCGAACCGGACCUCACAACAUACUCAUGCCACAUCGACCCACCCACGCUUACUAGCGUUGAAAUACUGUUGCCAAUCUUGGUGACCAACUAACCUGAGCUGGAACACAACCUGAACCUAGGGUCGCAAGCCUGCUCAAUGCUCAGAGCUCGAACAACUGGAAGAGUAUAAUCCUUGCCCUAGGAAACGACAUUCUUAUCCAUCUAUUAUCCGUUCUACUUCCAACUACAAAACUCUAACUGAUCAUAAUCAUCUCCCCCUUUCAGAGUCCCUGCAACUCGAAUCCUGGCCUCAAGCAUGACCCCUGAAGCCUCCAACUAGGAAACUAAUAUACUAACUUCUCCCGCUCAACCUGCAGUGUGCAUCGAGUAUGUAACAUUUCCCCAAUUCCAAGUAACUGCAGCCCACUGGUCACCAAAAUAUGCCCCAGUGACAAGUCUCGGUACUGCAAGCUCGACCAGCUCCUUCCUCCUGCCGCAGUUACAGCUUUUGUAGCCGCGGCGGCGACCGUCCCUGUAAUGGAUGCAUAGCACUCACCGAAAUACUCAACCAUGACGGUCUUGAUAGACCCAAACAUCUCUGACAAUUUUUUUCCCGGACCAUCUCGAUCACCCCCUCCCGGAUGAUCUCACUAACAAUCCUCUGACAAUACUGACGUAUCCUGACUGAUAGCUCUCGAUCCUGACAUGGCUUCAGUCUCAAAACGCCUUGUAAUCACCAUUCUAGCAAUACACCAGAAAGAUCUCGAAUAACCCAUAUGCUAACAGGGAACCAACUCCCAACCAACCCUAGGGGUUGUGACUUCCUUGCUACGCGUAUAGGUUCUGUGCUUUCAGUAGUAUGGGCCCCUACUACCUUCCACACCUACCCAUAUUUGUCUCAAGUAUCACCACAACACUCUGACAAUAUACGUAAACAUAGCGAGCGCUCAAUACUCACUCCUAGAGGAAUGUUGGAUAUCUCAUAACUGGCCUCCCGGCCUCUCACAACCCACCUAUCCAUGAAACUUCCACCACCCCAGCAGCACUAGUGUAUGCUAGCCAUACAUAAUGCUGGACCCUAUAGACUUUCGAAUAUCCAAUACCCUAAGCUCCCAAUUAAACAAGAACAUAACAUAAGGCCAAAUCAAACAUUCUCAGGCUAUAAGAUCUUAUUUAUGUAUAACCGUGAUGCCUACACUAGAUAACUACAGUAAUGAUGUCAAUUUCAUAUAAGAUAAACCCUAGGCUAGCAGGCAUCAUGUAAUCAGGCAAUUAUACCAUGCAAUUCUUGAAGAUCGCUAGCCUAGUACUAGCAUGCUGUUCUAACAUAUCACGUAAUCAAAUAACUGUAUGGUAUUUUGGGGUCUACUUACUGGGUCCGGCUGAUCGUAAACUUCGCAUCCUCUUUUAGUUAUUUUGAAAACCAUAUAAAAAAACAUUUUGAAAAUAUUACCUUGAUUUGAGACUGGAUUCACACGAAUGUUCAUC